CCCCUCUCAGAGUCACACCUGGGGAGUUUCCAGUACUCUACCAGUCUUGGCUGGGAGGGUCAAGCAGAGGCCUACCCAUUCCAUUCCUAGCUUGGCGAGUGGCUAGCGAGUGGAAGGCAAUCUGCUACAAGU